rnacentral:rRNA from 1 species
CACGUAGGAGGCGAGCGUUGUCCGGAAUCAUUGGGCGUAAAGAGCGCGCAGGCGGCUUGGCAAGUCGGGUGUGAAAUCCCGGGGCUCAACCCCGUGACUGCAUCCGAUACUGUCAGGCUAGAGGUAGGUAGGGGAGAUCGGAAUUCCACGUGUAGCGGUGAAAUGCGUAGAGAUGUGGAGGAACACCGAUGGCGAAGGCAGCCUCCUGGGCCAAUACUGACGCUCAUGCACGAAAGCGUGGGGAGCAAACAGG